GCAGAUGUGGAUCCAAAGUGUUUUCCACAUGAAUGUUCCUAUGUUGCUCCUCCUCCCAAAUGUGUUCGCACAUUGGUCCCGGUCUCUUAACUUUUGCAAAUAUUCAAAUGCCAGAAAACCUCCAAUAUGAGUGUUCAUAGGAGAAGAAAAAAAGAUCAAAGUACUUUGAGUGAAAAUUACACUGAGGUUUACAUGCAAUGCAACAAUAAGACAGAAGAACUAUUUUGAUAUAUGUAUUGUAUUACUCAACGGAACCAUUAGCAUGAAUUUUCAGAAGUAGCAUUCUCAGGUCACAGUUGUUUAACACUGAUCUGGAUCAGGAAGUCAAGGUAGGGACUGAGCACAUGUGACUUGUAUGAAGUUUGGCACUGAUGCUUCCUUUUUCUGCUGCAAUGCUGAUUGUUCAUUCUUCUCACAGAAGUAAACAGUCUUGGGUGAUUCUGGGCUGUUUCCAGUUAGCUGGCCUCUUAAAACAGAGUUUGAUCUUCCCAAGACAUGGAAAUCAAAAAACUUUGGGAAUUCCAGAUUCUGUUUAGUAAGAACACAAAAAUCCACCAGCUGUGCACUGCUGAUUUAUAGCAGCCACUUUGAGCGACCUUUACCUAAACAAACUGCAGAAAUCCUGCAAGAGCAGGGCACGAAUGUUUCCUGCAGCCUGGUGUGUCUGCGUAGCCGGUAGGUGGCAGUGGAUCAAUCACUUGAUCACCAAAGAUUGGCUUGUACUCCAAAAUUAGUUUGGAAAUGAUGGGGGGUUGCAUUUCUUAGGGGUGUGUAAAUGUAGAUUUUCUUAUAAGCUGAACAUUAGGUUUGUUCAGAGGAAAAAGUACUGCAUGAUUUCCAUAUGAAAGACUACAUCAGAGAUAAAUAAUCCCUUCCGAAUCAAGAAACAUUUUGUGCCUGAAAAUAUAUGCUAUUCUCUGACUCCUAAUCUGUAAACAAGAAAUGAAAGAUACCAGUAAAUGACCUUCAGUAUUUUGAAGAAAGUUUUUGCUGAUGCCUGUUGUCGAAGGGUUGUCAUUCCUGUGUCCAGAUCUGGUCUUGCAGACACUGAAUGCAUGUGCCUGUAUACAUGAUAACAUGUGCAAUGCAGCCCUAUGGGUAAUGUUAGAGGCACUGUGAACUGGUGCCUAUGGAUCCUAUAAUGGGGCUUAGGAUCCUUAUUGUCCACAUUCUGGUGGUGGCAAUUGGUUAGCAUGAGAUGAUUUGUCUGGCCCCUGUCAUCUAUCCCAAUUAUCUUCUCUGGGGUUUUCCAUUUCAGAAACACAAGGCAGCAGCUACUCGCCACCCUAACCUGAAGCAUUUGCUGUUCAGUAUGCUGGUGAUGGUUCAUUUCCGUCUUCUCUUUCCCAGGUGAGAAGCCUGCCUGCCUCAGGAACUUCUUGCUCUCUCAUCCAAGUCACAGAGGUACUCCUGCUGUAUACCUGAGAUAGGUGACUUUCCACCUCAGAACAUCUCCGAUGUUUUCAUGCCCCUAGGUGCCCAUGAUAAGAGCCAAAGUGAUCUCCCAGCACCGCUGAGUGACUCAUUGGAAGAACUGGAAAGGGCCUGGAUGUUGUGACUUCUGCACUAGCUCCUCAAAUCUCUGUUCAGCUCCUUUCUAAAUGAGCUUUGGAGAUCCACCCACCUAAAGAAGUAUCAUCAGGAAUCAUCAUUUCUUGAUGGGCUGUUGACUUUGUGGAUGAAGGAAGGAUGAACUUUUUGAUACAGAGACACCACUGAACCCAGUGUUCAAAACUGAAUUAAAAUGAAAAGGUCUCGAGUGCUUUCUGUGUUAAGUUAAAUUGUCCAGUUGACUCCACGCUUAUGCACUGAUUGAUGUUUGAUGACGGGACUGACUGACCUUAUUUGCCUGUUCAUACGAUACCUUGCCCAUUGCUGGUUAGUGAGAGUCUCUUCCAUCCCUAAGGGCAAUGGCUGACAUAUAAACAGAAUCACAGUGGUGCCCAGUGACAGGACAAGAGGGAACGGGCACAAAGUGAAAUACAGGAAAUUCUAUUUAAACUUAAGAAAACACUUUUUACUGUGCAGGUGGUUGAACAUGGAACAAGUCGCUCACAGAGGCUGUGGAGUCCCCAUCCUUGGAGAUAUUCAAAAGCCGGCUGGACACAAUCCUGUGCAACCUGCUCUAGUUGACCUGGCUUGAGCAGGGGGGGUUGGACCAAUGAUCUCCAGAGGUGCCUUCCAUCCUCAACUGUUCUGUGAUUCUGCCAACAUACAUCAGAGUGUAAAUACAUAUACAUAUAUAGGAGUGAGACUUGUAUAUUCCAUAUGCAACACUGUAAAAAGAUCGACCUGUUUAAACUUGGAAUAAUCACAUAUACAUAAGAAAUGAAGAUUAAUGUGCAACUGUAGAGUGGAUGAGAGUACCUCUAAAAGAUUGACCAAGAUGAUCUGUGUGAACUAAAUGCUAAGUUAAAUUUGGGCUCAAAGUCCAGAGAGUAUGUCUGAAGCUACAACGUUCUUGGCUUUAUAUGCAUUUUUAAUACAAAGUGACUGAAAUUUUGCAAGACCAGCUGAUUCAUGUGUCUUGGAUGUUUUCUUCCACCUGUUUUUGCAAGGUUCUCCCAGAGAAAAUCUAUUGUCUUCCAGUUUUAGGGACAUAUGCUUUAGCCCCUGUUGUGGGGGUUAGUUUGUUUUUUAUCCCAAUUUGGAUUAUUUGCCAGUGGUUCAAAUUUUAUUUACUGCUUUGUAUCUAACCUUUUUGAUGGAACACGUUCCUUUGGUGUGCGGCAGGAACGAAUAACUGGAAACUGAAAUCAAUGAAUGGCUCCUUAUGGUAAGUAUAGAAGCAUAUUCAAUUAUUUGCAUCUUAACAUUUUUCAGACUUGUUCCUUUGGGAUAUUUCUAGAAAACAGUAUAUCAACUUUGGUUUAAGUUCAUUAGCUGGGUGUGUUUAUUAAAAUGAGCGCUGUUCCAUCUUCCUGUGUUUUCAACAAAGAUAUCACAGUUGAUUUGGUUUUGUCUUCAAGAAAAUCAAAACUUUUCUACUGAAAUCUUAAAUUUCUCUAGCACCGGACCAAC